ensembl:lncRNA
CACAGAUUUAUUUGGCUAUUGAGAGUAGCAUGUUGGAAAGUUUGCGAUGACUGCCCUCUAGUGGUAAAAUCAAGAAUGUACACCGCAAUAUAAUCCAGAAAAUACAGGACAUACAACUAUAUCUGAUGUCAUCUAAACAUUUAUUCUCUUAAUACAGUCUAAAGAAAUCAUUAGGAAAUCAAAUGACAUAUGCACAGAGUGAUACAGACAUUUGUGGCCCUAUGGCCGUUCCCACAAUCAGAGGAGGGACAAGUAUGUAGUAGUCAUGCGUCUCACACAGAAUGUAUUUUCUCCAUUUCAGAUCAGAACAGAAAAGUAAAAGGUUAUUAACUUCAGUUAGACUGUAGACAGAGACUGAGGAAAUGAAAGGAGACUGAUACCCACAGCCACAGGCACCCAUACAGUACUGUUCAUCCCAAUGGCAUACCUCCGGUUCUUUAAUCAUCUCAAAAAAUAUAUAUCUGUGACAAAUUUCUAUCCAUCUGAAUGACAUGACUUCAACGAGUGAUUAGAUUCUACAGUAGAACAUCUCAGACCUCAAUCAAAUUCAUGAUUCGAUGAACAACCAUGAUCAGCUUUUGUAAAUACACUAAACAAAAAUAGAAAUGCAGCACGCAACAAUUUCUAUGAUUUUACAGAGUUACAGUUCAUAUAAGGAAAUCAGUCAAUUGAAAUAAAGUAUUUAGGCCCUAAUCUAUUUAUUUUACAUGACCGAGAAUACAGAUACCUAAAAAAGUAGCGGAGUGGAUCAGAAAACCAGUGUGACCAUUAUUUGCCUCGUGCAGCGUGACACAUCUCCUUUGCAUAGAGUUGAUCAGGCUGUUGAUUGUGGCCUGUGAAAUGUUGUCCCACUCCUCUUCAAUGGCUGUGCAAAGUUGCUGGAUAUUGGCGAGAACUGGAACACACUGUGGUGCACGUCAAUCCAGAGCAUCCCAAACAUGGUCAACGGGUGACAUGUCUGGUGAGUAUGCAGGUCAUGUAAGAACUGGGACAUUUCCAACUUCCAGGAAUUGUGUACAGAUCGUUGCGUCAUGGAGCUGUUCAUUAUCAUGCUGAAACAUGAGGUGAUGGCAGCGGAUGAAUGGCACGACAAUGGGCCUCAGGAUCUCGUCACGGUAUCUCUGUGCAUUCAAAUUGCCAUAGAUAAAAUGCACUUGUUUCCGUUGUCCGUAGCUUAUGCCUGCCCAUACUAUAACACCGCCGCCACCUGCCCAUACCAUAAUCCCACCGCCAUACCAUAACCCUCCAACAUUGACAUCAGCAAACCACACGCCAAAUUCUCUAAAACAAUGUUGGAGGCGGCUUAUGGUUGAGAAAUUAAACAUCGAAUUCUCUGGAAACAGCUCUGGUGGUCAUUCCUGCAGUCCGCAUGCCAAUUGCACGCUCCCUCAAAACUUGAGACAUCACAUUGCGUUGUGUGACAACACUGCACAUUUUAGUGUGGCCUUUUAUUGUCCCUAGCACAAGGUGCACCUGUGUAAUGACCAUGCUGUUUAAUCAUCUUCUUGAUAUGCCACACCUGCCAGGUGGAUGGAUUAUCUUGCCAAAAGAGAAAUGCUCACUAACAGGGAUGUAAAACAAAUUUCUGCACCAAAUUAGAGAGAUAUGAUUUUUUUAUGUGAAUGGAACAUUUCCGGGAUCUUUCAUUUCAACUCAUGAAACAUGGGACCAACACUUUACAUUUUGCAUUUAUAUUUUUGUUCAGUGUAUAACGACAAAGGACUGAAAUAUCAAAGUCUUUGGUAUGGACCUCUUUUUAUCCUAUUUGGCUUGAUAAAGGAUCCUGUAAAAUGGCUUAGCUUUAUUACCAUGAAUGCACUUGAUAUCAGACAGGUUGUCAGAUCCAUUAGGCCAACCUUUGACCUUUUUGACACUUGUCACAUACAGAAUAAUCUUGGAAACCCAGAAUUACAAUCUUGCAUAAUUGAGUUAGAUACUCAAUUCUUUUCUGGGGGAAGAUGUGUUUGAAAAGAGACUCGAGCAAGCAGCGGAGGCAGGGCAGUAGCUCCACCCGCCUUUGCAAGUUACAGGCAAGUCUAUGGGCCAAAUGUCCCUUCCCCUUCCGAAAUUCGAAAGAUGCGAAAUCGUGAUUUGUCCAAAAUUAUCAGUGAUGAAAAAUCACUGAUCAAGUUCCUUGAUAGUCGUCGCAUCCCACAGUCUGUUGACAGACACUACAAUACCAGCUAUAUUACGUGCAUCUGUCCAUGAGAGAUUACACACAGAACAGUGGGGAUUUAGAGAUAAUUGAUUAGAGAUAAUUUUGAUAGAGGUGACAGUUAGAGGUGAUUCGACAAUCACAGUGAGUAUUGUGUAGGCUAUAAGGAACUGUCCAUCGAAGCACAAUGUCAAACUGGGCCACACAACUUCCCACAUUUAGGCUGAUGCUCUACUGUAGCCUUCCAUUUCAAAUUACUUUGGGCAGCGAGCGGUUAUGAACGUUUGUGUCACAAGCAGGCAGUGUUUGACGAUGUCAUUAGCUCUGGCCACUAUAAUCUCUCUGCAGGUAAGCAUUCUUUGAUUGGCAGCCACAGUGGCCCAUCAUCUUGUUCUCUCACUGAUUGACAGUCACAGCGGCCCAUCUUGUUCUCUCUCUGAUUGGCAGGCACAGUGGCCUAUCAUCUGCUCCUCUCUCAGGAGAAGAUUGGGGAGGGGCGGGGCUUACAUGUCUGUCUGGAACAGGAACUUCCUCUAGUAACGCCACAGGAGCCAGACCUCGUCUGCCAUUCACCUGAAACACAUAGUCACUCAGUAAGCUAUCUACAGUACAGCUGCACUCAUCUGUUUAGAUAGCAGUCUGCCAGAUAGUAGUCUGUAAGAUAGUCGUCUGUUAGGAUAGCAGUCUGUUAGGAUAGCAGUCUGUUAGGAUAGCAGUCUGUUAGGAUAGCAGUCUGUUAGGAUAGCAGUCUGUUAGGAUAGCAGUCUGUUAGGAUAGCAGUCUGUUAGGAUAGCAGGCUGUUAGGAUAGCAGUCUGUUAGGAUAGCAGUCUGUUAGGAUAGCAGUCUGUUAGGAUAGCAGUCUGUUAGGAUAGCAGUCUGUUAGGAUAGCAGGCUGUUAGUAUAGCAGGCUGUUAGGAUAGCAGGCUGUUAGGAUAGCAGGCUGUUAGGAUAGCAGGCUGUUAGGAUAGCAGGCUGUUAGGAUAGCAGGCUGAUAGGAUAGCAGUCGGUUUGGAUAGCAGUCGGUUUGGAUAGCAGUCUGGUUAGAUAGCAGUCUGGUUAGAUAGCAGGCUGUUAGGAUAGCAGGCUGUUAGGAUAGCAGUCGGUUUGGAUAGCAGUCGGUUUGGAUAGCAGGCUGUUAGGAUAGCAGGCUGUUAGGAUAGCAGUCGGUUUGGAUAGAGUCGGUUUGGAUAGCAGUCGGUUUGGAUAGCAGUCUGGUUAGAUAGCAGUCUGGUUAGAUAGCAGUCGGUUUGGAUAGCAGUCGGGUUAGAUAGCAGUCGGGUUAGAUAGCAGUCGGUUAGAUAGCAGUCGGUUAGAUAGCAGUCUGUUAGAUAGCAGUCUGUUAGAUAGCAGUCGGUUAGAUAGCAGUCGGUUAGAUAGCAGUCGGUUAGAUAGCAGUCUGUUAGAUAGCAGUCUGUUUAGAAAGUCUGUUAGAUAGCAGUCUGUUAGAUAGCAGUCGGGUUAGAUAGCAGUCGGGUUAGAUAGCAGUCGGGUUAGAUAGCAGUCGGUUAGAUAGCAGUCGGUUAGAUAGCAGUCGGUUAGAUAGCAGUCUGUUAGAUAGCAGUCUGUUUAGAAACAGUCUGUUUAGAAAGUCUGUUAGAUAGAAGUCUGUUAGAUAGCACUCUGUUAGAUAGCAGUCUGUUAGAUAGCAGUCUGUUAGAUAGCAGUCUGUUAGAUAGCACUGUUAGAUAGCAGUCUGUUUAGAAAGUCUGUUAGAUAGCAGUCUGUUUAGAAAGUCUGUUAGAUAGUAGUCUGUUAGAUAGCACUGUUAGAUAGUAGUCUGUUUAGAAAGUCUGUUAGAUAGUAGUCUGUUUAGAAAGU